GGACUAGGCCCGGAGGCGGUUUUCCUGGUGGUUCGGGAAAAAGCCUAGGCAAAUCUUGGUGCUUUUAAAGGCUGGAGGAAACCUCAGACCGUCAAUUCCAUUUUACCAAAUCGACCGGAAGGUGUCUUGGUGCCCGACGAAAGCUUUCCUUAGCAUCUGUCUCAGCUGUUCCAGUGGUUAGUUGUGGAAACAGUCAUGUAACAGUAACAUCCUUCGCACAGAAAUUCAAGAUUUUAUUUCUUUAUUUCUUUAUUUGAGAGGGAGAGAGAAAGCAAGAGCACA